GUCUGUGGCCAUGUCACCCUGAACGAGCCUGAUGUCUGAUCUCAAAAGUUAAGCAGGGUUGGGCCUGGUUAGUGCUUGGAUGGGAGACCACCUAGAAAGACCAGAUGCUGUAGGCA
rnacentral:rRNA from 1 species